rnacentral:rRNA from 1 species
AUGUCGCCGCCGCCGAGCUUCAACCGCCACGAGACGGAGGAGUACGACCGUCGGCGCACGUCCUUCUCCUCCGCGAGGUCUUCCUACGCCGGAUCCUCCUCGUCCUCCGCCGCGGGCUUCCUCCCCGUGAAGAGGGAGUGGUCGGACGAGGAGGAGCCGGAGCCGCCCGCACCGUUCGCCUUCGUCCCGGUGAAGGAGGAUCCCGAGGAGCCCGCUCUGCUCGGCCGCCGCGGAGUCGUCGGGCCCGAGGACUACGUCGCGGACUUCGACGCCGUCGCCGCUGUCAUCGUCGAGCGAAGCAUGCGCGAGGAGGAGGAGCGCUGGCGCCAUGCCAAGGAGCUCGAAGCCCUCGAGUGGCGGCAGGCGGUCGCCGACAACGUCGCCGCCAACGAGAAGGCUGACGAGUGGCGUCGCAUCCGCACGGAGCAGGCGGAGAAGUACGUCGAUAUGUGCAGCUCCGGCGAGGAGGAUUGA